rnacentral:rRNA from 1 species
AUUGAACGCUGGCGGCAGGCCUAACACAUGCAAGUCGAGCGGCAGCGGGAAAGUAGCUUGCUACUUUUGCCGGCGAGCGGCGGACGGGGGAGUAAUGCCUGGGAAAUUGCCCAGUCGAGGGGGAUAACAGUUGGAAACGACUGCUAAUACCGCAUACGCCCUACGGGGGAAAGCAGGGGACCUUCGGGCCUUGCGCGAUUGGAUAUGCCCAGGUGGGAUUAGCUAGUUGGUGAGGUAUGGCUCACCAAGGCGACGUUCCCUAGCUGGUCUGAGAGGAUGAUCAGCCACACUGGAACUGAGACACAGUCCAGACUCCUACGGGAGGCAGCAGUGGGGAAUAUUGCACAAUGGGGGAAACCCUGAUGCAGCCAUGCCGCGUGUGUGAAGAAGGCCUUCGGGUUGUAAAGCACUUUCAGCGAGGAGGAAAGGUUGAUGCCUAAUACGUAUCAACUGUGACGUUACUCGCAGAAGAAGCACCGGCUAACUCCGUGCCAGCCGCCGCAGUAACAC